AUUGAACGCUGGCGGCAGGCCUAACACAUGCAAGUCGAGCGCGAAAGGCUUUCGGGCUGAGUAGAGCGGCGGACGGGUGAGUAACGCGUAGGAAUCUACCUGGUAGUGGGGGACAACUUGGGGAAACUCAAGCUAAUACCGCAUACGCCCUAUGGGGGAAAGUGGGGGACCUUCGGGCCUCACGCUAUCAGAUGAGCCUGCGUAGGAUUAGCUAGUUGGUGAGGUAAAGGCUCACCAAGGCGACGAUCCUUAGCUGGUCUGAGAGGAUGAUCAGCCACACUGGGACUGAGACACGGCCCAGACUCCUACGGGAGGCAGCAGUGGGGAAUAUUGCGCAAUGGGGGCAACCCUGACGCAGCCAUGCCGCGUGUGUGAAGAA
rnacentral:rRNA from 1 species